rnacentral:lncRNA from 1 species
CCUGAGUGAUGGACCGUGUAGGCAGCCACCCAAUCAGCCGCCUCAUUGGCUUCUCUGAAUACAUGCUUGGCCUCGAAGACCACCCCAUCCCUCAUCAUAUGGUGCUUCUGUUUUUGUCUAGCUGACUGACCACAUUUCGGCACCUCCAAGUUGUAUAGACUGAUUCAACUCUUCUAUCGAAGAAGGCAUGAUUUGUUGUGGUGCUUGUGAUGGUCUUUCCACC